UGUGUGUGUGUGUGUGUGUGUGUGUGUGUUCUGCAGGAGCCUUCAAGACCCUGGAUAAGGACCAUAGUGGCCACAUCGACCUGGACAUCAAGGAGUGGCUUCAGCUGACGAUGUACUCCUGAGGCGACGCAGAGAAGCUGCUGCACAACACAAACUUCUUCUCCCUCUUCUCCAUCUCACUCCCCACUCCUGUGUGACCCCAUUGUUUCCAUGGUAACGGGACCAAAAUGUCAAGGGAAAAAUCAAACCGGGACCAAAGUCAGCGCCAAUGCUGCUGCCACACCGUCCUGCUGCUGCCAGCUGGCGACACUACAACGUCCACGUGUUAGAGAGCUCUGUGUUUCAUGUUUUAGGGACAAAUGUGUUAUCAGAAACUGAAUAAAGUGGCACAACUGACAUUAAA